rnacentral:rRNA from 1 species
GAAGGUGUGUCGUGAGGCAUGCUGGAGGUAUCAGAAGUGCGAAUGCUGACAUAAGUAACGAUAAAGCGGGUGAAAAGCCCGCUCGCCGGAAGACCAAGGGUUCCUGUCCAACGUUAAUCGGGGCAGGGUGAGUCGACCCCUAAGGCGAGGCCGAAAGGCGUAGUCGAUGGGAAACGGGUUAAUAUUCCCGUACUUGGUGUUACUGCGAAGGGGGGACGGAGAAGGCUAUGUUGGCCGGGCGACGGUUGUCCCGGUUUAAGCGUGUAGGUGUGUGUUCUAGGUAAAUCCGGUUCACUUUAACACUGAGGCGUGACGACGAGGCACUACGGUGCUGAAGCAACAAAUGCCCUGCUUCCAGGAAAAGCCUCUAAGCAUCAGGUAACAUCAAAUCGUACCCCAAACCGACACAGGUGGUCAGGUAGAGAAUACCAAGGCGCUUGAGAGAACUCGGGUGAAGGAACUAGGCAAAAUGGUGCCGUAACUUCGGGAGAAGGCACGCUGACACGUAGGUGAAGUGAUUUACUCAUGGAGCUGAAGUCAGUCGAAGAUACCAGCUGGCUGCAACUGUUUAUUAAAAACACAGCACUGUGCAAACACGAAAGUGGACGUAUACGGUGUGACGCCUGCCCGGUGCCGGAAGGUUAAUUGAUGGGGUCAGCGCAAGCGAAGCUCCUGAUCGAAGCCCCGGUAAACGGCGGCCGUAACUAUAACGGUCCUAAGGUAGCGAAAUUCCUUGUCGGGUAAGUUCCGACCUGCACGAAUGGCGUAAUGAUGGCCAGGCUGUCUCCACCCGAGACUCAGUGAAAUUGAACUCGCUGUGAAGAUGCAGUGUACCCGCGGCAAGACGGAAAGACCCCGUGAACCUUUACUAUAGCUUGACACUGAACAUUGAGCCUUGAUGUGUAGGAUAGGUGGGAGGCUUUGAAGUGUGGACGCCAGUCUGCAUGGAGCCGACCUUGAAAUACCACCCUUUAAUGUUUGAUGUUCUAACGUGGACCCGUUACCCGGGUUGCGGACAGUGUCUGGUGGGUAGUUUGACUGGGGCGGUCUCCUCC